GAUGAACGCUGGCGGCGUGCCUAAUACAUGCAAGUCGAGCGAACGGACGAGAAGCUUGCUUCUCUGAUGUUAGCGGCGGACGGGUGAGUAACACGUGGAUAACCUACCUAUAAGACUGGGAUAACUUCGGGAAACCGGAGCUAAUACCGGAUAAUAUUUUGAACCGCAUGGUUCAAAAGUGAAAGACGGUCUUGCUGUCACUUAUAGAUGGAUCCGCGCUGCAUUAGCUAGUUGGUAAGGUAACGGCUUACCAAGGCAACGAUGCAUAGCCGACCUGAGAGGGUGAUCGGCCACACUGGAACUGAGACACGGUCCAGACUCCUACGGGAGGCAGCAGUAGGGAAUCUUCCGCAAUGGGCGAAAGCCUGACGGAGCAACGCCGCGUGAGUGAUGAAGGUCUUCGGAUCGUAAAACUCUGUUAUUAGGGAAGAACAUAUGUGUAAGUAACUGUGCACAUCUUGACGGUACCUAAUCAGAAAGCCACGGCUAACUACGUGCCAGCAGCCGCGGUAAUACGUAGGUGGCAAGCGUUAUCCGGAAUUAUUGGGCGUAAAGCGCGCGUAGGCGGUUUUUUAAGUCUGAUGUGAAAGCACACGGCUCAACCGUGGAGGGUCAUUGGAAACUGGAAAACUUGAGUGCAGAAGAGGAAAGUGGAAUUCCAUGUGUAGCGGUGAAAUGCGUAGAGAUAUGGAGGAACACCAGUGGCGAAGGCGACUUUCUGGUCUGUAACUGACGCUGAUGUGCGAAAGCGUGGGGAUCAAACAGGAUUAGAUACCCUGGUAGUCCACGCCGUAAACGAUGAGUGCUAAGUGUUAGGGGGUUUCCGCCCCUUAGUGCUGCAGCUAACGCAUUAAGCACUCCGCCUGGGGAGUACGACCGCAAGGUUGAAACUCAAAGGAAUUGACGGGGACCCGCACAAGCGGUGGAGCAUGUGGUUUAAUUCGAAGCAACGCGAAGAACCUUACCAAAUCUUGACAUCCUUUGACAACUCUAGAGAUAGAGCUUUCCCCUUCGGGGGACAAAGUGACAGGUGGUGCAUGGUUGUCGUCAGCUCGUGUCGUGAGAUGUUGGGUUAAGUCCCGCAACGAGCGCAACCCUUAAGCUUAGUUGCCAUCAUUAAGUUGGGCACUCUAAGUUGACUGCCGGUGACACACCGGAGGAAGGUGGGGAUGACGUCAAAUCAUCAUGCCCCUUAUGAUUUGGGCCACACACGUGCUACAAUGGACAAUACAAAGGGCAGCGAAACCGCGAGGUCAAGCAAAUCCCAUAAAGUUGUUCUCAGUUCGGAUUGUAGUCUGCAACUCGACUACAUGAAGCUGGAAUCGCUAGUAAUCGUAGAUCAGCAUGCUACGGUGAAUACGUUCCCGGGUCU
rnacentral:rRNA from 1 species